rnacentral:rRNA from 1 species
UGGGGAAUUUUGGACAAUGGGCGAAAGCCUGAUCCAGCAAUGCCGCGUGUGUGAAGAAGGCCUUCGGGUUGUAAAGCACUUUUGUCCGGAAAGAAAUCCUUGGCUCUAAUACAGUCGGGGGAUGACGGUACCGGAAGAAUAAGCACCGGCUAACUACGUGCCAGCAGCCGCGGUAAUACGUAGGGUGCAAGCGUUAAUCGGAAUUACUGGGCGUAAAGCGUGCGCAGGCGGUUUGCUAAGACCGAUGUGAAAUCCCCGGGCUCAACCUGGGAACUGCAUUGGUGACUGGCAGGCUAGAGUAUGGCAGAGGGGGGUAGAAUUCCACGUGUAGCAGUGAAAUGCGUAGAGAUGUGGAGGAAUACCGAUAGCGAAGGCAGCCCCCUGGGCCAAUACUGACGCUCAUGCACGAAAGCGUGGGGACGCAAACAGGAUUAGAUACCCUGGUAGUCCACGCCCUAAACGAUGUCAACUAGUUGUUGGGGAUUCAUUUCCUUAGUAACGUAGCUAACGCGUGAAGUUGACCGCCUGGGGAGUACGGUCGCAAGAUUAAAA